rnacentral:lncRNA from 1 species
CCACAAAGCAUUUUUAUUCUAACAGUCCAAAGCAAUAGCCCCUUUACUAUGGUGUGCGGAUCCUUAGUGGUGUGUAAGAAAUUUUCAGGAGUGCUGUUGCAUGCCAUGGGCUGGAUUCACAAAAGCGUCGUUACUGAACCAACGAUGAAAUAUCGUCGUUAUAGCUCGAUACGACGAUUGUCCGUAUUCACAAAACUUGUCACAAACAGUAACGACGUUAAUCGUCAUCGUUACAUAACGACACCACGACCGUGUCGUUAUCAAUAAUUUUAAGAUGGCGGAAGAGUAUUUAUCUCUCUUAGUCGAUGAAGAGGACAGACAUAUUCGAAUAUAUCGAUUA